UAAAAGACUAUUCAGUCUUUUAAAUUUUCUGUGUAUCUUAUAAUUGUGUUGUACAUAUACCAUGUUUUCUUUAUCUAUUCAUCAGUGGACAUUUAGGUUUCUUUCAUAUUUGGGCUAUUGUGAAUAAUGCUGAAAUAAACACAGAACUGCAGAUAUCUUUUUUGAGUACUGAUUUUAUUUCCUUUGGAUAUAUAUAUAUGCAGAAGUAUGAUUACUGGAUCAAAAGGUAGUUAUACUUGGGGUUGAACCACCAUUUAACCCAUUCCACUCCUUGACUUAUACCCAAAGGACUUAAAAUUAGCAUACUACAGUGAUGUAGCCACAUCAGUGUUUACAGCAGUUCAAGUCACCAUAGCCAAGCUAUGGAACCAACCUACAUGCCCUUCAACAGAUGAAUGGAUAAAGAAAGUGUGGUAUAUAUACACAAUGGAAUACUACUCAGCUAUAAAGAAGAAUUUGCCAGUAAAUGGAUGGAACUGGAGAAUGUCACACUAAGUGAAAUAAGCCAGUCCCCCAGAAAGCAAAGGCUGAAUGUUCUCUCUGAUAUAUGGAUGCUAACCCAUAACAAGGAAGGGAAUGAAGGGGAAGUACAGAAAUUCAUUGGAUUAGACAAAAAGAAGGGAGGGAGAAUAGGAACAGGAAAGACAGUAGAAUGAAUCGGACAUAACUUUCCUAUGCUCAUAUAUGAAUAUAUGACCACUGUGACUCUACAUUAUUCACAACCACAAGAAUUGGAUCAAAAUUAUAAUAGGUUGCACUCCAUAUAUAUAUAAUAUGUCAAAAUAUACCCUUUGUCAUGAAUAUCUAAAAAUAACAAAUAUAAAACCAGUAAAAUAAAAGGUAGUUAUAUUUUUAGUUUUUAUGGGAAUCUCCAUAUUGUCAUCUUUGGACUUAAUGAUAAUAGUCAUUCUAACAGUUGUGAGGAGAUAUGUCCUUGUGGUUUGAGUUUGUAUUUCCCUGAAGAUGAAUGGUGUGCACCUUUUCAUAUAACUGUUGGCCAUUUGUAUGUUUUCUUUGAAGAAAAUGUUUAUUCAAGACAUUUGUCCAUUUUAAAAUCAGAUUAUUUGUAUCUUUUGCUAUUGAGUUAUAGUAGUUCCUUAUAUAUCUUGGAUAUUAAUUCUUUACCAAAUAUAUGGUUUGUGUUUAUUUUUUCUACUCU
rnacentral:lncRNA from 1 species